rnacentral:rRNA from 1 species
UACGUAGGGUGCAAGCGUUGUCCGGAAUUAUUGGGCGUAAAGGGCUCGUAGGCGGUCCAUCACGUCGGGGAGUGAAAAGCUGGGGCUUAACCCCAGUCCUGCUUCCGAUACGGGUGGACUAGAGGUAGGCAGGGGAGAACGGAAUUCCUGGUGUAGCGGUGAAAUGCGCAGAUAUCAGGAGGAACACCAGUGGCGAAGGCGGCUCGGCUGGACCGGUUCUGACGCUGAGGCGCGAAAGCGUGGGGAGCAACAGGG